UGACACCGUGAAUUGAUAAAGUUUUUGCAUUAUUUUCGUCGUGGCUAAAGCCAAGAAAGAAAUUCGACACAUCUUAACACUUUUAUAAUAAAAAGACGUACAAAUGAUGGAUGGAAGGACAAAGGAUGGGUUUGGAAAAAGAAGACCUAUCCAAGUGCAAAAAGUUGGGAUCUAAAGUUUCAAUUCUGCAUCUCCUCAAACCACUACUCCUACUACUACCAGUUCUCCACUACCAGUACAAAUUUAAAUAUUUGUUUAUUGUAAAUGCCUGGAUAAGGCAUGAUCAAGUGUGCUUUACAUGCACAGACUGAUCUAUGCAGUUUACAAUCAUGAAGGGAGUAUGUAAGCACUGUACCUGAAGAUUUUCCCAAAAUAAACAGUGUAAAUAAAAGCAUGAAAACAUUAA